rnacentral:rRNA from 1 species
AGUGAACGCUGGCGGCAGGCCUAACACAUGCAAGUCGAACGGCAGCACAAGAGAGCUUGCUCUCUGGGUGGCGAGUGGCGGACGGGUGAGGAAUGCAUCGGAAUCUGCCCAUUUGUGGGGGAUAACCUCGGGAAACCGGGACUAAUACCGCAUACGACCUACGGGUGAAAGCAGGGGAUCUUCGGACCUUGCGCAGAUGGAUGAGCCGAUGCCGGAUUAGCUAGUUGGAGGGGUAAAGGCCCACCAAGGCGACGAUCCGUAGCUGGUCUGAGAGGAUGAUCAGCCACACUGGGACCGAGACACGGCCCAGACUCCUACGGGAGGCAGCAGUGGGGAAUAUUGGACAAUGGGCGCAAGCCUGAUCCAGCCAUGCCGCGUGUGUGAAGAAGGCCUUCGGGUUGUAAAGCACUUUUGUUGGGAAAGAAAAGCAGCCGGUUAAUACCCGGUUGUCAUGACGGUACCCAAAGAAUAAGCACCGGCUAACUUCGU